GGCUCCGGCGUGCCAGGGACCCGGCUCCCCCACCCGCCGCCACUGUCCUGCCUCCAGCGGCUGCCCACGCUCGGCCCCGCGGAGCCCCGAAGCUGCGGCGGGGUCGGUGUGCCCGGCGGGAGCGGGGAUGGAGGGAACGGGCCGCCACGGCGUGUGGGUGCGGAUAGUUGGUGGUAAAGUUGUUCAGGAGGGAUGGCGUGUCCCCCUCCGUUCUCUUGCUCUUCUCCAAAGUAAGUAAGUGCUAGCGGACUCCGUACCAAGUUAGAGACGCAUCGUCCCGGCCGGUGACGUCUUGAGAGCCGGUCAGUGACUAACUGAACUGCUAUUGCCAAGGGUGUGUUAACAGAAGAAACUCUGCCUAGUAUUGCCCUGGAUGAGUCACAUUUAAAGGGAGACUCUCUAGUCUGUUAAAGGAAAAGCAGAAAUGAGGCUCACUUUCCUUUUUUGCUGAUGUUUUUUUCCAUCCCACCCCUCACCUUUGCUUGUUGUUUACUUCGUCUUGUGCCAGGGCUCUGUUGGCAUCCCGGCCCUGGCUGGGCAUUUGCAGAGCUGCCUUGCCCAGUGUGCUGUGAUGUCACGCUGGGGACUCUGACUUCAUGGCCCCGAGGAACAGGAAGGCGAGCCAGGCAGGGACUUUUCCAGCCACCCACGGUGGCUGUCACUAAAAACGGAGGAAGUGACGAAGCAGAUGGCUUCUCCUACAAAGUUGUCUCUUGUGAUUUUUCAGCUGGUAAAGAAGCCUGGUAGUCGAGUGUAUUUUCUGAAGAGCAGCACAGCUUCAUUGUCAGCAGAAGUUCCUAAUAAGCAGCUAGGAUUCACCAGAGCUGCUGAGGUUCCCUGGAAGGGUUCAGGUAUUCCCCCUGUUCCUGGGGUUGCUCUCGUGUAGCCCUGGGCUGUUGUAAAGGCUUGGUCUGAAGGAAUUUGCCAGUGCUCUGGUCAAUAAGUAGUUAAUUGCACAGAAGGCAGAGCAAGGUCCUCUGUUGGUAAAGUGUCUCUCUGAGAAGUUUUGCCUGUCCCUAUCUCUCCUUCAUGCUCUUAUCAUUUCUGCCUCUGGGUCCUAGAGGAAUAUCUGCUCUUCACAAGACAACUCAGUUCCCUCUGUGCUCUGUGUUUCCGUAGUGCUCAAACAGCCUGGGAAGAUGGGAAAACCAACCAAAGUUACCCAGACAUGCUGUCAUGUUUGUUCAGAAGCCAAAUGGGCCUUUUUUUUUUUUUUUUUUUUAACAGAGACAGGUUUGGGGGGCAGACAAGUUUGCAGCUUUCUCAGCCCUGAAUUGCUUUUUUCUUCCCUAACUGCACCCACAGCAUCUUCCCACUGCUGGUCCCUAGCAGGCAGGAGCACAGUGUAGCCACACGGAGAAAGGGAGGGAGGGAAAAACCUGGUGCAAAAUCCAUCAGUGUACAAGUGUGUCUGAGAGCUGAAACUGAAGGCCACAGUCCCCCUGUCACCCCAUUUCGUAGGGGACCAUGCACGUAACAAACCUGUGUCUGGAAUAAAGGUGCUUUGUUUCUCUUUGCGUGAACAGCCCUGCGUUUGGGACUGUGCUGGCUGAGGAGUUGACCCCAGGAGAUGCCGCUGGCAGGAGCAGCUCUGCAGGUCGCCUGGCAAGGCCUGUCCCAGUUCCCAUGAGCAGCACCAUGGUGUGGAUGCUCCCGACUUCCUGCUACCGAUGGAACCAUCCUGUUCAGCUCCACUCUUCUUGGAAGGAAGGGAACAGGCCUUGCCCUUCAAGCACCACACUAAGAAGUCUUCUGUCCAUAACAUGUGCCAGUGUCAGGGCAAGGUAGAAGGCAGUCAGUCUGCACUCUGAGAUGGAGAAUGAAAAAUCAUCUUAGGAGAGCAGACAAUGUUCCCUGCAUGGACACACACGCCAGUUCAAACAGCUCUUCUUCAUCUGCAAUGAACUAUGCUGGGAGAAGCUGUGCAGCCAGGAGCAAGCAGCAGAGCAUCUGUACACCACUUGGGGAGCAAAACCAACAGGCAUUUUCUCCUCCAGACAUUCACACCUUUCCUUAUGUAACUGGUGCUGAAGUGUGUGCUUUGAAAGCUGCUUGCCAAAUCCAGGGGCUGGGAGGCAGCACAAAUGCUUCUAGCACUCUAGAUGAAUUUGAGGGGGAAAAAAAAUCCCCAAACCCAAACACCCAGGAACUCGUACAAAUAUGUAACUGUAAUUUGGGGAUGGUUCAAGUGUCUGCAGCAGUGUUGCCCUGAAGAAACUGCACUGGCCUGGGGCAGCGCUGGCACCCAGACCACCAUCUGAUGAGGAUGAUGAGGAGCUGACUGUCCAGGAUAGAGGGGUGAGGAGCUGGGGGCCAUUUUUCUUACACAAUAUUAAAAAAAACCCCAAAAACUAAAAAAAAAAUCAGGUAGUGCAGCCAGGAAAAGGGCGCCAGGGAGGCUGGAGGUGGCUGAAAUACUCUUCUGAAUGGUGCCUUGUGCUGGCAGAACCUGCAGAUUUAUUAAAAAAAACCAAAACAAACCCAACAAAAAUGCAGGACUGCUCACCAGUGAAAAACAGGUAUAUCCUUCACUUUGUGACUUUUGGGUGGCACUAGAGCUAACCAGGAGAAGCAUCUGAGGAGAGAGAAGCUCUGAAGUCCAUUCCUGCCCACUCCAGGGAAGGAAGAAGCUGCCCACAGCGCCUGAGGGACAUGGGGACACGAGUCCCUGCGCAGGCAGCACAGCAUCCUCAAGCCACCCUGCACGCUUGGAUCCCUGCCUUGCCUGCAAGCCAGUUGUUCCCUCUCCAGUACGCGCCGUACGCAGGGCUGCUGGUUUGUUUUUUAAGGGAAAAAAAUAAUUUAUUUGCUUUGUUUUAAUCUCAUAACAAUGGGUAAUGGUAAUUUCUUCCUACCACUCUGUAGUGGCCUAGAAAAGGACAGCAUCAUCUCCACUGUAGCAAGAAGGCUUGUCCCAGGGCAUAAAAUUUUAAUUAGGAACAAUCACGCAGCCUUGAAAUGGGAAUUGCGAGCAGCAAAAAAGUCAAACCAUCAAUAAAAUAUUCAAUGGCAGAAAUGUAUUAUUGACACAGACUUUAGAGCAGCUAAAAGCGGGAAGGCGGGGGAGCGGGUAUUGAGCCUCGCUGCGUUAAAUAACAGGCGGGGACCCGCCCGGGCACAGGCCCCCCGAGCCGCAGGAAUAUAGGUCACCCUCGGCCGGGGAGCUCCCGAGGUAACACAGGAGUUUGAUUACCACCUCUGCCCCACGUGCACCACAGCAGGGACGCAGUAAUCACAGCAGUUUAUUACCUCGUGAAACACUGCUGGCCUAGGCAGCAGCUGGGUGAUGGUGGGUAGGACACAAAAUGAAGAAAAUGUGCAAAGAGCCAGUCUAGAGCUGCAAAGAGUUAACCCCUGGUCACAGCCCUCUCACUAGUCCCAUGCCUGGUUACCAGUGGGGGACACAAUUGAUUUACUCUGUCUCCCACCCAUGCAACAGUUCCAAAUCCCGCAUGCCAGCCAAGGGGCAUCAGCUGAAGGGCCAAAUCUGCUGUGAUAUAUAUUUUAAAUCCUUAUUUUCCGCACCCUCCCACACCUCCUUCUAGGAAAGACUGGUGCUGGUUUGGCCUGUUAAGAUUAUGACUGAAUUAUGACUGAACCUACAAAACUGAUAAAUAAUAUAUAAUUGUAACAGCGGUGAAAAAAAACCCCCAAACAUUCAAAUUAAUUUUCUGCCCCCAUUCAGAAGUACCAUAGGUGAUGACUCUUUUCUCUUCCUGUUUAUUUUGCAGAAGGCAAGGCUACAAAUAUAACCCAAAAAAUGAAAGAUCUGGUUUUAAACCUGCAGAGGUCAGUUUUUUGGGAUACACAAAGGAUGUCACAUGACACACUGAAAUCUGGCCACGUCCAAGGCAAGUGGGUUUUCCAAACCUGCUUUUCCCUCCCCUCCCCAAGCAGCACUGAAUUGCUCUUUACAAUGUCCAUCACCCACUUCUUAGAAAGGGAGAAUCUUUAAAAGCAAGAGUCCAAAAAAAAAAAAAGGACAUGAAGCCCAAAAAGCAAACAAGCAGGGACAAACCAAAUGCAGCUGCAUGGAACAAACACAUUUUUAACUAAUUUUCCUUGAGAUACAUGAUUUAAGGAGGAGGGUGAGGAGGAGCUUGAAAAGCAACCCACCCAAAAAGCCCCAAUUCAAAAAAGGCAGCUUUGAAACUGCAUCUCCCCACUGUGGCAGCUCUCCAGUCAUAACCAAAGACACAGCAGUACCAGUGGAUCUCCCAAAAAAACAAACUUUAAUCCUUUAAUAUUACUUGAUCAGCCUGCUGGGCUAUGGUGGCACCUAGAAAAUCAGCUUUGAGAGGGGAAGAUGUCUGCAGGAACAAGAGCCCAGCAGAAGCUCAGGGGAGAUGGUGAUGGACAGCAAGAGCUGACAUUCCUGGCUGCUGUUAUCCAGGUGCAGACAAAGGGGCUUGGAGGCAAAUGGAAAAUUUCCCCUUACCUGCUCCUGUCUGCAGUUGAGCGCCACCCCCUUUGCCUCCUGUCCUAAAACGCUCUGAGCUGCUGCUGUGCAUUAUUAAAAUGUUGCCAUGUUUCAUCCCAGAGACGGCCGCAUCUCACCGGAGACAAGCCGCAUCCCCUGGUUGUAAAGCAUUUCACGGUUAAAAAAGAAAAAGGGAAAAAAAAAAGAAGAAAAGAGCACUGUGUGCACAAGAGUCAGUCGGUUAUAAAAUACUCACAGCUUUCAUUCGGCAAAUAGAAAGAGAUGGCUUGGAAAUGGAAGAGGCAGCUGCGGGGUGCGCAAACCGCUUGGAUGUGUCCGUCAGGCGCCGGCAGGGACGGCUCAGCCUGGCCACAACAGCACACUCACACUCGCUUUGCUCAAAUCCUUUCCCAAAGAUUUAUUGAAAAUUGGAUCUGCGGCGCACAGGAUUUACAUUCGCACGGGGGAAGCGGGGUUUUACCAGGAACGCUGUGCCCAAGUCACAUUUUUCGCACACGACACGCUGAAAACAGGCUCAGGGAUCUCCCAGACAAACUCUUCCCCUCCCCAAACCGCUUUGGUUUUGCAAUUAAAAUACAAGGUGACCCACCGCGACAGAUGAACAGAAUGGUAACUACUGGCCAUCGAGUUAAAAAAAUUAAAAAUAUCAGGGAAAUGUCACCGAGAGUAUUUUGGUCCUGUUCCCCACUCACACUACUACCGGGGAAGGGCUCAUUCUGCAAUUUUUUACUUUAAAAAGAAGUUGAAAGAUUAAAUGAAUUUAAGAAAAACAACUCCCGCUGUGUGCUUCCUUGAAGCAUGGUCUG